ensembl:lncRNA
AGAGAGGGCAAUGUAAGCAGAGAGAUGAAAAUUCUAAGAAAGAACCAAAAAGAAAUGCUAGAGAUAAAAACACUGUAACAGAAAUGAAGAAUGCCUUUGAUGUGCUGAUUAAUACACUGGACAUGGCUGAGGAAAGAAUCUCUGAGUUUGAGGAUGUCUCAAUAGAAACUUCCAAAACUGAAAAGGAAACAGAACAAAGACUGAAAAAACAGAAUGGAAUAUCCAAGGACUGGGACAACUUCAAAAAGUGUAACAUGCUUUUAAUAGGCAUACCAGAGGAAGAAGAAAGAGAGGAACAGAAGAAAUAUUUGAAACAAUAACAACUGAGAAUUUCUCUCUUUGCUCGCUGUUCUUUUGUCAUGUCAAGUGACCCAGUGGAGCUGAAAUUGAAGUUUAUUGAGACUUUUUGCUGUGUCGUCUUGCGUAUGCAUUUGCCUUUAAGAAUCACAAGCUCCAAACCCACAAAGGCCAGAGUUGGAGGGAACGAACACAUGCAUUUUCUAAAUGGAUCACUGGGCGUGAUGGAAAGAGGGACCACUCCGACUUGUAUCCUGUAGUACUGGGAUCCAUCAUUUUUUAACUCAAGACACAGAUGUAUGCACUAGUCAUGCUUUGGGGAGUAGGUGCAUUUUCAAUGGUUCCUCACCCUUGUGUGGAAUCAUCUUGGAGCUGGUACCUCUGCUGCACUUUCAGCUGACCUGACCUUUACACUGUCACGUUGAUCAUUGAGUGUGGUCUUUCCUGGGAGAGGCACGCCCUGUUUGAGGCCUCGAUCUGCAGCUGAGGCUAACCCUUAAGUGGCUGGCAGCUUGAAGCUGUCCACUGGGCCCUCCCAACAGCAGGGGUAAAAAGUGCGGGAUGUGGGUAGCACACACCUGUGUCCAUCACAUGGAGCGUGUGAAGCGCAAUCACCAGAAUGUAGUGGCUGAGGCAGGGGACCUGAGAUUCUAACUGCUUCCUAUUAGGACUCUUGACCAGGGUCCUGUUUUCUUCAUGAUUUUCACACUGCCCCUUGGCACCUGGACUCUGAGCUCUUCUGGGCUGCUGUAUGUGAGAACCGGCUCAUGACUCAUGAGCAUCGUCCUCUGCAGGUGCAGAGAUUUCAGAGUUUCCACUCUGCUAGUGAAUUAGAAAUGAGGGUGCUGCUUAUCUCUUUCAAUUGUUGAGGAUGCUUUGAUAUUUCCGUCCCACAACUAUUCUCCUCUCCAAAAAUUCUUUGUUACCUUGUUCUUUUACAAUUUUAAACACCCUUUUGGAGCUCUUUUCAAAGAGUUUUUUCAGGAAAGAAAUAACGAUGUCACAGGUGAAACAGGCUUAGUCUAAAGAGGAAGGAAGCUUGUCUCUCCAAUUACCUUCCCUGCAGACUCUUGGCCUGGAUCGAUGCAAUCAGCCUGGUCUUGACCGGUGCCUACCCUGCAGAGCAGUGCAGGAACUACCACCGGGUCACGUGGCAUCGCUGUCUGGGACACCGUGCUGUGGGUCACAGGGCCCUGUGCUCUUCUACUUUUGUGACUCUGAUGUUUUCUUCAAGCACAAAGAUUUCGUUUCAGGAAAAAGGAUGGAGGAGUUAACACGGCAGACCAGAGGAGACGUUUCACCACAGGCUGUCCUCACCGUGUCAACAACACUGCCUCCAGCCUCCUCUCUGGUUUCAGUUCUCUCCUGCGGUUGAAUUGAAGUGGCUUCUAUGUGGUCCACACCACAGCACAUUUUGAGUGGAUUCCUCGCUAAAAACGCUAUUUGGAAUCCUUGUGCUGAAACUCAAAAUCCCGAGAAAUGUGCCCAGAUUCAGAGUUUUCAGUCUUGCUGGCUGAGCUGUAGGAGACAGACAUUGAAUGUCAUGUUGCAGAGUUUGCUUUUUCAAAGGGAACUGUGAGCUGGGUUUCUCAAGUUCCAUUCUGUGACUGUGUCUCUGUUUUCAUUUUCAUGUGGAAGGGAUGAAUUGGAAUUGGGCAGAACUGAGGUGUCAGUGCGAGCAACUGGAGGCCAGAAGAGAACCCAGUGGUGGAGAGUGGCCAUGGAUGAACACUUUAAAGAAGCAGGAUCAACUUAGUGUGUAAUGAAGGUUAUCGAUUAAAUACAAAUUUGAAUAUGAAAAAUUAAAGAAUUGGAAUUGGGGUCACUGAGAAGCUGACAGUGAGAUGACGUCAAGCACGUAAACUAAAUGGACAUGUUAGAGAGGACUGGUGUGGACACCAUGAAUGAGCUGGCCGACCCCUGGUCUAAAUGAGAGAGGACCAGGACAGCGAGAAAGGAGAGGAGGAAAUGGACCAGGUGGUUAGGGCCAUCCAGGUAGCAGCGGCUGCAGGAGGAUAUUGACUUCCUGAACGUCUACUGGUUGAUUUAGAAAACACAGGAGUGUAGCAAAUGUUUUUGCCCUGUAGACACAACAAUAAGUUGUCUAAAUUAAUUAUUUUCAAUCAGUUGUAAUAUCAUGAAGUUGUAACUUAAGACCAAUAAUAUUAUGCAUUUUAAAAAGGGCUUUAUACCAUUUUCACCAAGUUUAAAGCAAGUAAAUAGAACUCCUCCAUACAUAUUGGAAUUUUUUAAGCACCUUCAUGGGUGCUAAGGGUGUAAUUUCUUACUUUUUCUUUUUAAAUGCUAUUAAAAAAUACAAGUAAUAAUGCAGAGGGUUUAAAAAAAAAUCUCAAUAGCACAAAGAUGCACAGUGAAAAGCGAAUUCCAUUCCACCUCAGUCUCCUCGUUCCUUAGUUUGCCAGUCUUCUCCAGGAGUAAUUUAUUUUGCAGUUUCUUCCACUUCCUGUCCAUGGAUAUCUAACAUGUCUGUGUAUAGAGCUCCAAUUUGUUUAACUCACAUCUACAAACUGCACUGUAUCUUCCUUUUGCUAGUUAAUAUAAUUGGAGUUGGUUUCAUAUCAUUUUCUAUAGCUCUCUCUUAUUAAUAGCUGCAUAGCAUUCUAAUAGAUGGAUGUUACAAUAAAUCACUGUGUACAAACAUCUUUACACACAUAUUACUGGAUUUCUAUGAGAAAAAAGUGGAAUUUCAGAGCAGAGGAUAUUUGUAUUUUAAUUUGACAAAUAGUUGACUUUCAAAAGUUAAACUAAUUUAUACCAUCACCAAUGAUAUAUCAUAGUAUGUUUUAUUUAUUUUUUGUGUUUUUGUGAGGAAGAUUAGCUCUGAGCUAACAUCCAUGCCAAUCUUCUUCUAUUGUGUAUGUGGGACACCGCCGUAGCAUGGCUUGAUGAGUGGUGCAGGUCCAUGCCUGGGAUCCGAACCUGUGAACCCUGGGCUGCUGAAGCGGAGCAUGUGAACUUAACCACUACACCACAGAGUGGGCCCCCAUUGUGUGUUUUUUAAUCUUUCUCAAAAUCAUGUAAGAGUCAACUUUAAGUCUUUGCCAGACUAAUAGAUUAAAAAGUAAGGCAUUCCCUUGUAAU